AUACAGAGGGUGCGAGCGUUAAUCGGAAUUACUGGGCGUAAAGCGCGCGUCGGCGGCUUGGUCAGUCGGAUGUGAAAGCCCCGGGCUCAACCUGGGAAUGGCAUUCGAUACUGCCAGGCUAGAGUAUGGGAGAGGGAAGUGGAAUUUCCGGUGUAGCGGUGAAAUGCGUAGAUAUCGGAAAGAACACCAGUGGCGAAGGCGACUUCCUGGCCCAAUACUGACGCUGAGGUGCGAAAGCGUGGGGAGCGAACAGGAUUAGAUACCCCAGUAGUCC
rnacentral:rRNA from 1 species